rfam:Schistosoma mansoni, Puerto Rico, WGS project CABG01000000 data, contig: 0080
GUCCAGCUGACGAGUCCCAUAGGGGAUGAAACGCGCGUCAAACUGGAU